rnacentral:rRNA from 1 species
GACGAACGCUGGCGGCGGGCUUAACACAUGCAAGUCGAACGGAAAGGCCCUGCUUUUGUGGGGUGCUCGAGUGGCGAACGGGUGAGUAACACGUGAGUAACCUGCCCUUGACUUUGGGAUAACUUCAGGAAACUGGUGCUAAUACCGGAUAGGAGCUCCUGCUGCAUGGGGGGGGUUGGAAAGUUUCGGCGGUUGGGGAUGGACUCGCGGCUUAUCAGCUUGUUGGUGGGGUAGUGGCUUACCAAGGCUUUGACGGGUAGCCGGCCUGAGAGGGUGACCGGCCACAUUGGGACUGAGAUACGGCCCAGACUCCUACGGGAGGCAGCAGUGGGGAAUAUUGCACAAUGGGCGGAAGCCUGAUGCAGCAACGCCGCGUGCGGGAUGACGGCCUUCGGGUUGUAAACCGCUUUCGCCUGUGACGAAGCGUGAGUGACGGUAAUGGGUAAAGAAGCACCGGCUAACUACGUG